CCCCCAGUUUCUGCAGAUCCUAGACUGUUUCCUAGACUUCAGAGGAUAUUUCUGCUGUGGAUGGAGGAUCCAAGUUCCUGAUGAUCUCGAUACCAUUCUGUGAAGUCAAUGGGAGGCACCAGAUCCUGAGAGUCCCAGUUCAAGGCCGAGUUCUCGGUUUCAAAUUCCUUGCCGCGGAGCUGGGCUCCAUCCGCCUCCAGCUACCUGCCUAAUGUGAUCAUUCUGCAUGGUUCUGGAACAGGUAGGGGUUUUGUCCCAGAAGAAGUGGCUUCAAAGAGGAAAAGAAAAAUUGGUUCUACAAAUGUACUUUCUGCCAAAGAUGGUGGAAGAGUGGUCAGAAGUUCUCACUGAGCAGACACAUGCUGUGGGAUAGGAAUGGCAAGUUUGCAUCCUCCAGCCAGAUCCUUACUUCAGGUUGCUUGAGAUAAGUUAGCACGAGGGAAAAUGGACCAUAAACAGCUUACAGGAGGCUGAUGAGGCACAGGGAAAUGAUCUUCAACACAGAUGGCCCUCCUGCUCCAGGAUCUCCAAGGAAAAGAGCUGCAUGUGCGCGUUCAUCCCCUAGAAGAGGAGGGGAUGCAGCCUGCUAAGGGGAAUGGAAACAAGUGUUUUGCCUGUUUUGGAAAAGCGGUGAUAUUGAAGGUAAGAGACAUGAGGACCUGCCAUGCAAUGAUAGCUAACUUGAGAGAACGUAAGAUCUGUGGCCAUGGGUUAACCCUAGCAGAAGACAGCAUCCUAUCUCCAGUGUGGACAACAGGAGAGGGCAGAAUUUGCAAUUUCAGUUCCUCUACGGCUUGAUAAACAGUUACCUCAAUAAAGGCACUUUCAGAC
rnacentral:lncRNA from 1 species